GAUGAACGCUAGCGGCAGGCCUAACACAUGCAAGUCGAGGGAGAAGCCCUUCGGGGCAGAAACCGGCGCACGGGUGCGUAACGCGUAUGCAACCUACCUUUCACAGGGGGAUAGCCCGAAGAAAUUUGGAUUAAUACCCCAUAAUAUUAUUGGGUGGCAUCAUUUGAUAAUUAAAAUUACGAUGGUGAAAGAUGGGCAUGCGUCCUAUUAGCUAGUUGGAGUGGUAACGGCACCCCAAGGCUACGAUAGGUAGGGGUCCUGAGAGGGAGAUCCCCCACACUGGUACUGAGACAGGGACCAGACUCCUACGGGAGGCAGCAGUGAGGAAUAUUGGUCAAUGGUCGGAAGACUGAACCAGCCAUGCCGCGUGCAGGAAGAAUGCCUUAUGGGUUGUAAACUGCUUUUAUAUGGGAAGAAUAAGGAGUACGUGUACUUNGANGACGGU
rnacentral:rRNA from 1 species